GUUUGGUUGGGGGUUGAAGAGAGAGAGAGAGAGAUCACUGCUAAGCAGAGAACAGAAAUUUUUGGACCCAAUAAACCAUCUUAAUGGGAUCACAAAAAAUAUUCUAAAAGGAAUGACAAGUUAGCCUAGCCAUUUUCUGGCAAAGUCCAAUCUAAAUGACUUUAAUUGAUAGGGAAUAAAAUUAAAUUAUUUUACGUGACCAAUUUAAAUUCAAUGACCACAAAGUGAAUUACUAAUAGUUUCAAUGACCAUUAGUGAAACUAAUCCAAGAGGCUUUAGAAUGCAAAACAACUAAAUCUACCAAUACCAUUCCUUGUAGAACCAUGCACAUAAACAUACAAAUUUUAUUCUUAUAGACAAGUUUUAUCAAAAGAAGGUACUAGCAAAACAAGAAGCGCCCAAAGAGCACCUCCGAAAGCCUAUUAAAGGAAAAUGUAGCAUUCUGUCAUUUUAUAAAUUAAAAUCAAUAGCAUGAGAAUAAGGAGAAUUGACCAUGCAUAAG
rnacentral:misc_RNA from 1 species